GCCUGCCCAGUGACCCUGUUCAACGGCCGCGGUAUCCUAACCGUGCGAAGGUAGCGUAAUCACUUGUUCUUUAAAUGUGGACUAGUAUGAACGGCACCACGAAGGUUAUACUGUCUCCUUUUUUUAAUCAGUGAAACUAAUCCCCCCGUGAAGAAGCGGGGAUAAAGCUAUAAGACGAGAAGACCCUAUGGAGCUUUAAACAAUAUAGCAUUUGCCUCACAACAUUAAAAUUUCUGAAUCUUUAUACUUCACUAGGCAAUAUGACUAUGAGUUUUUGGUUGGGGUGACCGCGGAGCCUAAAAUAACCUCCACGUUGAAAGAAUCCUUUUAAGCUAAGAGUUACUAAUCUAAGCAUCAAUAAAUUGACAUCCAUUGACCCAAUAUACUUGAACAACGAACCAAGUUACCCUAGGGAUAACAGCGCA
rnacentral:rRNA from 1 species